UACGGAGGGGACUAGCGUUGUUCGGAUUUACUGGGCGUAAAGGGCGCGUAGGCGGUUUAUUAAGUUAGAAGUGAAAGCCCAAGGCUUAACCUUGGAACUGCUUCUAAAACUGAUAAGCUAGAGUACGGGAGAGGAUAGUGGAAUUCCUAGUGUAGAGGUGAAAUUCUUAGAUAUUAGGAGGAACACCGGUGGCGAAAGCGACUACCUGGAACGUUACUGACGCUGAGGCGCGAAAGCGUGGGGAGCAAACAGG
rnacentral:rRNA from 1 species